rnacentral:rRNA from 1 species
ACGAACUGUGCGAACGUUACUCGGAAUCACUGGGCUUACAGGGUGCGUAGGCGGCUUGCUAAGCAGGGUGUGAAAUCCCUCGGCUCAACCGAGGAACUGCGCUCUGAACUGGCGAGCUGGAGGAUGCUAGAGGUGUAUGGAACAUCUAGUGGAGCGGUGAAAUGUGUUGAUAUUAGAUGGAACACCGGAGGCGAAGGCGAUACACUGGGGCAUAUCUGACGCUGAGGCACGAAAGCCAGGGGAGCAAACGGGAUUAGAUACCCCGGUAGUCCUGGCCGUAAACGAUGAGAACUGGGCGGGGGAUGGCUUGCCAUUCCCGGCCGUAGCGAAAGCGUUAAGUUCUCCGCCUGGGGAGUAUGGUCGCAAGGCUG